rnacentral:rRNA from 1 species
UGGGGUGCUCGAGUGGCGAACGGGUGAGUAACACGUGAGUAACCUGCCCUUGACUUUGGGAUAACUUCAGGAAACUGGGGCUAAUACCGGAUAGGAGCUCCUGCUGCAUGGUGGGGGUUGGAAAGUUUCGGCGGUUGGGGAUGGACUCGCGGCUUAUCAGCUUGUUGGUGGGGUAGUGGCUUACCAAGGCUUUGACGGGUAGCCGGCCUGAGGGGGUGACCGGCCACAUUGGGACUGAGAUACGGCCCAG